UAUCUCUGUAGAGUCUGCAUAUCAAUAAGCGGAGGAAAAGAAACUAACAAGGAUUCCCUUAGUAACGGCGAGUGAAGCGGGAAGAGCUCAAAUUUGAAAUCUUCAAGGUUUUACCUUGACGAACUGUAGUUUAAAGAAGUGUUUUCUGUUGAAGUUUCGGUAAAAGUUCUUUGGAAUAGGACAUCAUAGAGGGUGAGAAUCCCGUAUUUGACCAUUACUUCCAGCGUUGUGAUACACUUUCAAAGAGUCGGAUUGUUUGGGAAUGCAGUCCAAAAUGGGUGGUAAAUUUCAUCUAAAGCUAAAUAUUGGCGAGAGACCGAUAGCGAACAAGUACCGUGAGGGAAAGAUGAAAAGAACUUUGAAAAGAGAGUUAAACAGUACGUGAAAUUGUCAAAAGGGAAGCGUUUGACACCAGUGUUGUUUUCUCGAAAAUCAAUUAAAAAAGGCAGGAUUUUGUGUUGUAUUGACUUUAUCAGCUUACUGUACUCUUUUCUUGUCUUUUUUUAAUGCACUUUUCGUUUAACAAGUCAACAUCAAUUUCUUUUGUUGUAAAAGAGUCAUUGGAAGGUGGCUUUCUUUUCGGAGAAAGUGUUUAUAGCCUUUGGCCUCUGCAAUCGGAGAGAUUGAGGUCUGCAGCGUAGAUCCUUCGGGGUUAGAUACAUUUGUGCUAAGUUAUAGCCUUUCAUAGACAACUUGUUGACUAUGAUCAGUCAUGUAGCUUACUCGCUUAUGCUAUUUUACCUACGCUUAGGAUGUUGAUAGUCACAGCGUGUAC
rnacentral:rRNA from 1 species